GAUGUAUUGUUGUUCUUGGGUUUUGUUUCCCUUCUUGGCAUAGGUUGGCGGGGCGGGGUCUUGAUGGCAUUCCGGCACACCUGCGGCGCAUCGGACGUCAUCAGUGAGCGCAUUUAUGGAGCUGAGUCACGGACGUCUGGUGUCGGGGUAUUGUCGCUUUCACUAGUGCCUGUCCCGCCUGCCUGCUCGCCUGCCUAGUUUUCUUUGUGAUUGGCUUCCUUGGAUCCGUGACGGGGAGUUACUUUGCACCUGUUUGUGACCACUGCUACAGCUGUAUUUCUGUGUUUCAAGUAGCUCCGGUGCGUCAUCUGUCCACCCGCAUACCUCGGCUCCGUUUCAUCUCUUCAGCUCUGCUCAUUUUGCACAUUUUACUUGUUAUUGUAUAUAGCCCUUUCCCUUGUAAAUAUGUUCCCCACCGUCGUAUAUAAAUCUGCAUCACUA